rnacentral:rRNA from 1 species
GACAGAGGGUGCAAACGUUGUUCGGAUUUACUGGGCGUAAAGCGCGUGUAGGCGGCUUGGCAAGUUGGAUGUGAAAACCAGAGGCUCAACCUCUGGCCUGCAUCCGAUACUGCCCGACUAGAGGUAGGUAGGGGAGAUCGGAAUUCCUGGUGUAGCGGUGAAAUGCGCAGAUAUCAGGAGGAACACCGGUGGCGAAGGCGGAUCUCUGGGCCUUACCUGACGCUGAGGCGCGAAAGCUAGGGGAGCAAACAGG